AGGUGAGUUGCCGUUUGUGUUUGCAGGGCAAGUGUAAAUGGUGGCUACGUUACAGCAUUGUUCUUUGUUUUUAGGAGGUCAAGCCGGAUCGCAGCAGUCAAAAUGAAGCGAGCAAGGUGGUCUGCUUGUAUUCUCCGAGGCUCCUUGCUGCCAGACCUGCCUUGCCACCCUUGUGAGCCCUCUGAAAAUAUUAUGGGACUAUUCGACCAAGCCUUCACCUUUUCCGUUCGAAGGGUCUUUCUGAGCAGCCUUUGGCAACGGCUGGGGAGUUGCAUCGAGUCAGGGAGGGGGAGGAGGAGUGAGGGUCUGCUCAAGUCUCAGCAAUGUCGCAUCACCUUGUCUCCUCCUAAUCCAGGUAUACCUUGCAAUGACAGUGUCAGUAUCGGAGCGUGGCCAAAGCGUACGGUCCGAGGACCCUGGCCCUAUUAGGAGACGCCGACUAAGAGAGAACAGCCCGGUGACAGCAGGAGCUUCUCGGAUGGCGAGGCGGCCUUCUUUUGUGCCCGAGGCAGACGUCUGAGAGAUAAGUCAAGGCUUGUGACCCACAGAUGGGCUGACAGCAGAGUGUUGAGUUGGGACUCGCCAGGAGGGAUUUUUGAGUCAGAUUUGGAGGUGGGGAUACCCAAGAAGGGGACCCUUAGGCCAACAUAAAG